rnacentral:lncRNA from 1 species
AUUCCACCUGCAACCCUAAUUCCCUUUGUUACGUAGCAUAACAUAUUGACAGGUUCUCAGGACGUCUUUAGCAGGGGCCUUUAUUCUGCCAAUCACAUGAUCUCUAUGAAUCUGCUUCUUGUUUUUUUUUAAUUGGGUGACAUUAAAUUCUGAUUUCUUUCUUUCUUUUUUUUUUUUCUCUAGGGAGUCGUCUCUCAAGAGGACUUGAUCUCUGGCCUGUGAACUGCCCCACAUGUUUCUUCUGCACAUCCUGACUCCCAGGCCUGCACAGGGGACUUCUGCACAGGCCUGACUCCCAGGCCUGACAUUUUCUGGUCUGUCUUCGCCAUGGUCUGCUAUCAACUGCAGUUUUGAAUUCUGGUUUCUCUUAUUCUUUGUCUCUAGACAAAGUAAUGGGGGCAAUUAUACUUAUAUUCCAGAUAGCGAAAAUGAGAUCUCAGAGAGGGUAAGUGACUUGUCCCAGAUUGUAUUGUGAGUGGCAGAGGCAGAAUUGGGAUAUAAAUCUGUCUUUCUGAGGCCUC